UAUAAUUAAAAUAAAUUAACAAUAAUGGUUACGAAAUAGUGUGAGCUAAGAGGUACUUUUUUUUAGAAUUUUUGAGUUAACUGUAGCAAUAUUUAAUAUAUAAUAUCUUUUAGGGGCGAAAUACUAUUCCCGCACUAUGAUAUCUUAUUUAAAAAGAAAUAUAUUAAGUAUAAAGUCAAUUCAGAUAUGAUUAGGUUUCUGAAUGCCAUUAUAGCUAAUAAUUACUAAAAUAAAUUGUAUAAUAACAAUUAUUUUUAUUAAAAAAAUACCAAAUUUAGGAAUUUAUAUGUGUAUUAUUUUUAUAUGUAAAAAAAUAUUUAAGUACAUUAAUAAUGUUAUAAUUAGUAUUAAAAUAAUUAUUUAAGAGGAACUCGGCAAAUCAUUUUCUCAACUGUUUAUCAAAAACAUUGCCCAUAGAAAUUAUUUUGGGUUAACUCUGCUCAAUGGUAUUCUAAAUAGCCGCAGUACCUUGACUGUGCAAAGGUAGCAUAAUCAAUUGGCUUAUAAUUGAAGUCUGGAAUGAAUGGGUUUUUGGGGAAAAACUAUCUUUUAAUUAUAAUUAGAAUUUACUUAAUAAGUGAAAAUUCUUAUAUAUAUAUAAUAGACGAGAAGACCCUAGAAAUUUUUAAUAGAGAUUAAAAUAUUCUUUUUUGUUGGGGCGACAUUGUAACAAAUAACUUACAAAAGUUAAUUAGAACUAAUUGUUUUGAAUAAAUAAAUUACUCUAGGGAUAACAGCAUAAUUUAAUUUAAGUUUGUGACCUCGAUGUUGGACUAGGAAAUAUAUUACUCAGAAAGUAACUAUUUUUGCUCUGUUCGAGCUAUUUUUCCUACAUGAUCUGAGUUCAGACCGG
rnacentral:rRNA from 1 species